AAACCUAUAAUUUAAAGGUAGAAUAAUUUCUUGAUAAGGAAAUUUGUAGAAGUUCGAUUCUUCUUAGGUCUC
rnacentral:tRNA from 1 species